CCGCGUGAGUGAUGAAGGCCUUCGGGUCGUAAAACUCUGUCCUCAAGGAAGAUAAUGACGGUACUUGAGGAGGAAGCCCCGGCUAACUACGUGCCAGCAGCCGCGGUAAUACGUAGGGGGCUAGCGUUAUCCGGAUUUACUGGGCGUAAAGGGUGCGUAGGCGGUCUUUCAAGUCAGGAGUGAAAGGCUACGGCUCAACCGUAGUAAGCUCUUGAAACUGGGAGACUUGAGUGCAGGGGAGGAGAGUGGAAUUCCUAGUGUAGCGGUGAAAUGCGUAGAUAUUAGGAGGAACACCAGUUGCGAAGGCGGCUCUCUGGACUGUAACUGACGCUGAGGCACGAAAGCGUGGGGAGCAAACAGGAUUAGAUAC
rnacentral:rRNA from 1 species